GAAAGAUGGUGCGAGUGAAGGGCUUAAACCAUCAAACUGGAUAUGCAAUCUUAGUGGUUGCAAUUAGAAUUUUCAGCCAAGAAUUGGAGAAAUAGUUACUUUGUGCAGAUCAUCCUGUUUAUCAGCUGGAUAACAUCUACAAUCCUGAGGAAAUUCAGAGGCAAGACUUGAUGAACAAAUCUUCUUUAGUUCGUUUCUCUGCUUAAGGUCAGUGGGAAGAUCCUGAAAGCAUAAAACGAAGAGAGAGAAAAAAGAAAUCCACAUAAAUAAAUCAAAACUAAAUUUCUUGAUGAAAUUAUGGGGUAGUGUCUACUGUCUAGUGUAUUUAUGAAGCUUUGAAGUGGUGGUUAGUCCUGUCAGCUUGAAUGUAUCAUCCUUAAUACUAUGGCUCUUUAGUUUUUUUGGUUUUGAAAGUGUUUUGUUUUUAAUGGUAAAGUGUCAAGGAUGAUACCUUGGAUUCCACUCAUUUGUUGUUUGACUAAUUUAUUUGGCUUUUUCCUUGGCUACUGAUUUGGCGUGGACAUCUUUUUCUCCUUGCUAGCC
rnacentral:lncRNA from 1 species